UACGGGGGGGGCAAGCGUUGUUCGGAAUUACUGGGCGUAAAGGGCUCGUAGGCGGCCAACUAAGUCGGACGUGAAAUCCCCAGGCUCAACCUGGGAACUGCGUCUGAUACUGGAUGGCUUGAAUCCGGGAGAGGGAUGCAGAAUUCCAGGUAUAGCGGUGAAAUGCGUAGAUAUCUGGAGGAAUACCGGUGGCGAAGGCGGCAUCCUGGACCGGCAUUGACGCUGAGGAGCGAAAGCCAGGGGAGCAAACGGG
rnacentral:rRNA from 1 species